rnacentral:rRNA from 1 species
CGACCCCAGGUUAGGUAGGGCUACCCGCUGAGUUUAAGCAUAUCAAUAAGCGGAGG